ACUCAAAUGAAUUGACGGGGACCCGCACAAGCAGCGGAGCAUGUGGUUUAAUUCGAAGCAACGCGAAGAACCUUACCAGGGCUUGACAUCCCUCUGACCGGCCGGUAACGCGGCCUUCCCUUCGGGGCGGAGGAGACAGGUGGUGCAUGGUUGUCGUCAGCUCGUGUCGUGAGAUGUUGGGUUAAGUCCCGCAACGAGCGCAACCCUUGUCAUUAGUUGCCAUCAGGUUAAGCUGGGCACUCUAGUGAGACUGCCGGGGAUAACUCGGAGGAAGGUGGGGAUGACGUCAAAUCAUCAUGCCCCUUAUGUUCUGGGCUACACACGUGCUACAAUGGCCGGUACAAAGAGAAGCGAACUCGCGAGGGUGAGCAAAACUCAAAAACCGGUCCCAGUUCGGAUUGCAGGCUGAAACCCGCCUGCAUGAAGCAGGAGUUGCUAGUAAUCGCAAAUCAGAAUGUUGCGGUGAAUGCGUUCCCGGGUCUUGUACACACCGCCCGU
rnacentral:rRNA from 1 species